GACGAACGCUGGCGGCGUGCUUAACACAUGCAAGUCGAACGGAAAGGCCCUGCUUGCAGGGUACUCGAGUGGCGAACGGGUGAGUAACACGUGGGUGAUCUGCCCUGCACUUCGGGAUAAGCCUGGGAAACUGGGUCUAAUACCGGAUAGGAGCCAUUUUUAGUGUGAUGGUUGGAAAGUUUUUUCGGUGUAGGAUGAGCUCGCGGCCUAUCAGCUUGUUGGUGGGGUAAUGGCCUACCAAGGCGGCGACGGGUAGCCGGCCUGAGAGGGUGGACGGCCACAUUGGGACUGAGAUACGGCCCAGACUCCUACGGGAGGCAGCAGUGGGGAAUAUUGCACAAUGGGCGCAAGCCUGAUGCAGCGACGCCGCGUGGGGGAUGACGGCCUUCGGGUUGUAGACUCCUUUCGCUAGGGACGAAGCUUUUUGUGACGGUACCUAGAUGAGAAGCACCGGCUAACUACGUGCCAGCCGCCGCG
rnacentral:rRNA from 1 species